UAUAAAGUUGGAUUAAAUUGAUUUUUGUCUUAUUUAUUGUGUUUCAAUUUUUACGUUUGCCGCUUUGAAAUCCAAGGCAAAGCUUUAAAAUCAAUAACAUUUCCUACUACAUUUACCUAAAAAUGCUUCUGUAAGAAAACAUUGUCUUGAUUUCGUUGAAGCUCAGGAUUCGGUUUAAGAAUUCAAAAUGAUAAAUUCUGCUCGAAAAUGUGUUUUGCUAAUAUUAUUGUGCGCAAUAUUCGCACCAACUCUGAGCACUGUGUGUGAUUGUUCAUGUUCUGACUUAUGCAGUUCCUGGUCAACAAGAAACAGUUGCAUCCAAUAUGGUUGUUAUAAAGGCUAUUGCUGGGCAUCGUGCACGGCAGUUCUUAAACAAGGCGAAUGGUGCUACACAACAAAAGGAAGAUCUCAAGAUUAUAAUUACGUGAAAUGCAAUAUUGAUAUGGAAUGUGAGCCACAGUGGCAUUGCGCUGGACCAUGCGCUUUGUUCAGUGCUUUUAAUUUGACAAAUGUUGAAAACAAUGAUAUAUUGACAAAUAAUAUUUAAGUGAAAUUUACUAAGUUUUGAUUGCGAAUACUGAAUUCAAAAUUUCGACAACAUUUUUUGUUUAUUGAGAAUUUAAAUACAAAUAGUAAACUAUCAAUAUCUCGAAGUACGGAAAAUGUUAAUCUAAUUAACCAUAAAAUCUCAAUUUCAUAAAAUUCAUGUAUGAAUAAAUAAAUGACAGAAUUUUGUGAUGGCCUCAUA